rnacentral:rRNA from 1 species
CGUGUAGGCGGUUUGGUAAGUUGGAUGUGAAAGCUCCCGGCUCAACUGGGAGAGGACGUUCAAUACUGUCAGGCUAGAGGACGGCAGAGGGAGGUGGAAUUCCCGGUGUAGUGGUGAAAUGCGUAGAUAUCGGGAGGAACACCAGUGGCGAAGGCGGCCUCCUGGGCCGUGCCUGACGCUGAGACGCGAAAGCUAGGGUAGCAAACG